CCUACGGGUGGCAGCAGUGAGGAAUAUUGGUCAAUGGGCGCGAGCCUGAACCAGCCAAGUAGCGUGAAGGAUGACUGCCCUACGGGUUGUAAACUUCUUUUUUAAAGGAAUAAAGUGAGGCACGUGUGCCUGUUCUUAUGUACUUUAUGAAUAAGGCUCGGCUAACUCCGUGCCAGCAGCCGCGGUAAUACGGAGGAUCCGCGCGUUAUCCGGAUUUAUUGGGUUUAAAGGGAGCGUAGAUGGGUUGUUAAGUCAGUCGUGAAAUUGUGCGGCUCAACCGUAGAAUUGCAAUUUAUACUGGCGGUGUUGAGUACGGUUGAGGUAGGCGGAAUUCGUGGUGUAGCGGUGAAAUGCUUAGAUAUCACGAAGAACUCCGAUUGCGAAGGCAGCUUACUAAACUGCCACUGACAUUGAUGCUCGAAAGUGUGGGUAGCAAACAGGAUUAGAUACCCUGGUAGUC
rnacentral:rRNA from 1 species